AUUGAACGCUGGCGGCAGGCUUAACACAUGCAAGUCGAGCGAGCGGCGGACGGGUGAGUAAUGUCUGGGAAACUGCCUGAUGGAGGGGGAUAACUACUGGAAACGGUAGCUAAUACCGCAUACCAUCGGAUGUGCCCAGAUGGGAUUAGCUAGCAGGUGGGGUAAAGGCUCACCUAGGCGACGAUCCCUCGCUGGUCUGAGAGGGUGACCAGCCACACUGGAACUGACACACGGUCCAGACGCCUACGGGAGGCCGACGUGGGGAAUUUUGCACAAUGGGCGCAAGCCUGAUGCAGCCAUGCCGCGUGUAUGAAGAAGGCCUUCGUGUUGUAAAGUACUUUCGGCGGGGAGGCGUUACCCGCAGAAGAAGCACCGGCUAACUCCGUGCCAGCAGCCGCGGUAAUAC
rnacentral:rRNA from 1 species